UACGAAGGGGGCUAGCGUUGUUCGGAAUUACUGGGCGUAAAGCGCGCGCAGGCGGCUAUCCAAGUCAGUGGUGAAAGCCCGGAGCUCAACUCCGGAACUGCCAUUGAAACUGUUUAGCUUGAGGACGAGAGAGGUGAGUGGAAUUCCCAGUGUAGAGGUGAAAUUCGUAGAUAUUGGGAAGAACACCGGUGGCGAAGGCGGCGACCUGGUCCGACACUGACGCUGAGGCGCGAAAGCGUGGGGAGCAAACAGG
rnacentral:rRNA from 1 species